GUGUUCCAUCCGACUAGAGGAGCCUGUUUUAUAAUCGAUAACUCACGAUUUACCUAACCAUUUUUUGCUACUCAGCCUGUAUACCUCCGUCGUAAGUCCACCCUGUGAAUGAGGAGAAGUAGGCAAAAUGACUUAUAGCCAACACGUCAGGUCAAGGUGCAGCUUAUAAAAUGGAAAAAAUGUGCUACAAUUUCUAAUUUAGAACACACGAAUUACUGCAUGAAAAAAGGUCAUGAAGGUGGAUUUAGCAGUAAGUGAGGAAUAGAGAGCCCCACUUAAUUAAUGGUCACGGAACACGUACACACC
rnacentral:rRNA from 1 species